AAACCACCCCCGGGCUCUGGGCUGCAUCCUUCUGCCUCUGCCUUUCCCAGGUGGGGGGCCUCCAUACCCCCACCUGCCUCUAGGUUGGGAGCCUCUCCCUCCCCAGCAUCAUUCCCAUCCCACCAUCCAGCCUCUUCCUACAGCAGCACAAUGCGAGACUUGCAAGCCAAGUUUUAUUUGCAGCAAAAUAAAGACUAUAAGAGUUGACUCAUUGGAAAAGACUCUGAUGCUGGGAGAGAUUGGGGGCAGGAAGAAAAGGGGACGACAGAGGAUGAGAUGGCCGGAUGACAUCACCGACUCGAUGGACGUGGGUUUGAGUGAACUCCAGGAGAUUGUGAUGGACAGGGAGGCCUGGUCUGCUGCGAUUCAUGGGGUCGCAAAGAGUAGGACACGACUGAGCGACUGAACCGAACUGAACUCAACUGAAAAACUAUAACCCAGGAGCAGUUUCUCAGAGGUGUCUGAAGUGCUGUCUGUCCGGCUAUAGUCUUGACAUUUUACUCCAAAUAAAAGUUAACUUACAACUCUCACACCGUGCUUUUUUGUUCUUAAGUCGGCACUAUCAAACAAUUUUGAACAGUAAUGACUAACGUACUUUAAAAAGAGUUUGUGUAGCAUUUAGAAUCAGCACAGGUGCAUCGUAUUAGCAGUUUAUACGCACCCCUUUCCCCAUUCCUAUCAAGGAUGCUCAGCCCUCGGCUUUGCCACUGGAAGAAGUGGCUGUGGAAUGCUGUCUUAUUUACAUAUUUGAACCUUGAAUUCCAGAUUCAAAUCCCUAGUGGAAGAGUAGGGUGAUUUACUAAGGGGAGUUAGAUUCCCCCUCCCUGGCUCUCCUCAAAAAAGGUGCCACCAACGCUUUCCUGUCUGGUGGACAGGGAGACCUAUCUUAAUGUUUGUUAUCUCCCAGGAAGCAGUUAUUUAUGUGUCUCCAGGCCCACCUUUAGCUUCCCAGCCUGGCCC
ensembl:lncRNA